UACGUAGGGUGCAAGCGUUAAUCGGAAUUACUGGGCGUAAAGCGUGCGCAGGCGGCUUUGCAAGACAGAUGUGAAAUCCCCGGGCUUAACCUGGGAACUGCAUUUGUGACUGCACGGCUAGAGUACGGCAGAGGGGGAUGGAAUUCCGGCGUGUAGCAGUGAAAUGCGUAGAUAUGCGGAGGAACACCGAUGGCGAAGGCAAUCCCCUGGGCCUGCACUGACGCUCAUGCACGAAAGCGUGGGGAGCAAACAGG
rnacentral:rRNA from 1 species